rnacentral:rRNA from 1 species
GACGAACGCUGGCGGCGUGCCUAAUACAUGCAAGUCGAGCGAGCGGAACCAACAGAUUUACUUCGGUAAUGACGUUGGGAAAGCGAGCGGCGGAUGGGUGAGUAACACGUGGGGAACCUGCCCCUAAGUCUGGGAUACCAUUUGGAAACAGGUGCUAAUACCGGAUAAUAAAGCAGAUCGCAUGAUCAGCUUUUGAAAGGCGGCGUAAGCUGUCGCUAAGGGAUGGCCCCGCGGUGCAUUAGCUAGUUGGUAAGGUAACGGCUUACCAAGGCGAUGAUGCAUAGCCGAGUUGAGAGACUGAUCGGCCACAAUGGAACUGAGACACGGUCCAUACUCCUACGGGAGGCAGCAGUGAGGAAUAUUGGUCAAUGGGCGGGAGCCUGAACCAGCCAAGUCGCGUGAGGGAUGACGGCCCUACGGGUUGUAAACCUCUUUUAUAAGGGAAUAAAGAUGAGGUCUUGACCUCAGUUGCAUGUACCUUAUGAAUAAGCAUCGG